GAUGAACGCUGGCGGCGUGCCUAAUACAUGCAAGUCGAGCGAACAGACGAGGAGCUUGCUCCUCUGACGUUAGCGGCGGACGGGUGAGUAACACGUGGAUAACCUACCUAUAAGACUGGGAUAACUUCGGGAAACCGGAGCUAAUACCGGAUAAUAUAUUGAACCGCAUGGUUCAAUAGUGAAAGACGGUUUUGCUGUCACUUAUAGAUGGAUCCGCGCCGCAUUAGCUAGUUGGUAAGGUAACGGCUUACCAAGGCAACGAUGCGUAGCCGACCUGAGAGGGGGAUCGGCCACACUGGAACUGAGACACGGUCCAGACGCCUACGGGAGGCAGCAGUAGGGAAUCGUCCGCAAUGGGCGAAAGCCUGACGGAGCAACGCCGCGUGAGUGAUGAAGGUCUUCGGAUCGUAAAACUCUGUUAUUAGGGAAGAACAAAUGUGUAAGUAACUAUGCACGUCUUGACGGUACCUAAUCAGAAAGCCACGGCUAACUACGUG
rnacentral:rRNA from 1 species